UGGCUCAGUGGUAGAGCACUUGCCUUGCAUGCAUGAGGCCCUGGGUUCAAUUCCUCG
rfam:Dipodomys ordii contig_56974, whole genome shotgun sequence.